rnacentral:rRNA from 1 species
GUACGCUGGCGGCACGCCUAACACAUGCAAGUCGAACGAAGUAGCAAUACUUAGUGGCGAACGGGUGAGUAUAAUGUGGGUAUCUGCCUUUUGGUUUGGAAUAACACGGGGAAACUUGUGCUAAUACCGGAUAAGCCUUCACAGGGAAAGUUUUAACGCCAAAAGAUGAGCCCGCACUUGAUUAGCUAGUUGGUAAGGUAAUAGCUUACCAAGGCUACGAUCAAUAGCUGAUCUGAGAGGAUGAUCAGCCACAUUGGGACUGAGACACGGCCCAAACUCCUACGGGAGGCAGCAGUGGGGAAUCUUGCACAAUGGGGGAAACCCUGAUGCAGCGAUGCCGCGUGAGUGAAGAAGGCCUUUGGGUUGUAAAACUCUUUCGUCGGGGAAGAAAAUGACUGUACCCGAAUAAGAAGGUCCGGCUAACUUCGUGCCAGCAGCCGCGGUAAUACGAAGGGACCUAGCGUAGUUCGGAAUUACUGGGCUUAAAGAGCUCGUAGGUGGUUAGAAAAGUUGGUGGUGAAAUCCCAAGGCUUAACCUUGGAACUGCCACCAAAACUUUUUGACUAGAGUAUGAUAGAGGAAAGUGGAAUUUCUAGUGUAGAGGUGAAAUUCGUAGAUAUUAGAAAGAACACCGAUUGCGAAGGCAGCUUUCUGGAUCAUUACUGACACUGAGGAGCGAAAGCAUGGGUAGCGAAGAGGAUUAGAUACCCUCGUAGUCCAUGCCGUAAACGAUGUG